UUGAGAACCACAGCUCUAGGGACUUAGACCGGGACUCCCAGGAGUCCCCACUUCCACUGAGCCUCCCAUGUUGGCUCUGCACCUGCCAGCCUCCUCACUUGCACCCAUCAGCUGCAGUACAUUUGCCCCAAAAUGCAUAUUCCAAGCCGAGCUGCCAUAUUCUUACAGAAAAGUGAUGUAUCCUGAUUGAAAUAGGUGAAUGUAUUGCUGCCAUCUACCUUUCAACAUUAUAAUGGAUAUAUUUUCCCUUUAAAACAGUAUCGUGCUUACUAUGGAGCAUUUAAAGCUGUCACCAAGAAAAACAGAACUUCUGAAGAAGCCGGAGACCUCAGUGCCUUGCGUUUUAUAUCCGUGAUCUCAAUUGUGGACCCUUGGAUUUUCAUCAUUUUCAGGACAUCAGUAUUUCGGAUGUUUUUUCACAAGAUGUUCAUAAGGCCGCUUACGUAUAGAAAUAGGCACAUCAAUGCCUGCCAAACUCAGAUGGCAAGUCUUACAGUCUCCGGUUUAUCAUAUUAAUGGAUGUUGGGGAGGAAGGAUUUAUGCUUCUUUGAAAGCAGUGAUGUGAGAAUUUCCAGAGAGCCAAGUAGAGCUGAGCCAUGUUUACUCCCUGUGGUUGUGCGAAGCCGCAGGGCAUUCAGCAGAGCGAAAAGCCCGCCCAGGACUCAGUCAACCUCAGCUGAGGGUGGUGGCAGGGACCUUAACAUCUACCUAUUGACAGCCGCAUUCUGCUCUUUGUGGAAACAGUAAGAUCUUGUGGAGGUUCCGGAGAGCUCUGCACAUUUAAAACGAGCAGGAUGGGCUCAGAUGGAGCACAGCUGAGCACUUUAAUUGUACAUUAAAUGUUUACAAAGGUUAGCAACACUAUGAAAAAGGAACAAGAGGGGAAGAUACGCUGCAGCUGUUAAACUAAACAAGCACACAGGUAAAAGCUUUUACCUUUGGUGAAAAAAACAGAUGGGGGACAUUCGGGCAUUUUCAGCAUCUCCAGAGUCCCUUGGUACCCUGACACACGCAGACUCUGAGAUGGAGAGCCGGCUGCCCUUGAACAGACCCAAGACGCCGGGUCAGCCAUCCCUUCCAAAGACAAGAGCAUUGGACUUAUUGCCAACAGAGCAGCAACCCCACUUUGCACCUUUGGUUUAUAUCAGUGAUGAUAUUAACCUGGAUACGUGUGUGCGUGCGUGUGUGUGUGUGUGUGUGUGUGUGUGUGUGUGUAGCAACACUGUGAAAUGGCCAAUUAGGAAUACCUGAAUUAUAAUUUUGGGAGUAUGAUGGGGUGAAAAAUGCAGUCAUUUUCAACGUUUAAUUUUCAUUUGUAUAUUUAAUAUGUGAGUACAUACGUGUUUUAUUGUGGAGGAAGUGAAGUUUUUUGUGUUCUCCUUUUGGAAGGUGUGUUGUGAUCAUUGUCAAGGUCACCUGAAAAGGUCACAGAUGAAUCAAUAAACAUCUUUAUAAUAUU